rnacentral:rRNA from 1 species
UACAGAGGGUGCAAGCGUUGUUCGGAUUUACUGGGCGUAAAGGGCGCGUAGGCGGCCAGCACAAGUCAGUUGUGAAAUCUCCGAGCUUAACUCGGAAAGGUCAACUGAUACUGUGCGGCUAGAGUGCGGAAGGGGCAACUGGAAUUCUUGGUGUAGCGGUGAAAUGCGUAGAUAUCAAGAGGAACACCUGCGGCGAAGGCGGGUUGCUGGGCCGACACUGACGCUGAGGCGCGAAAGCUAGGGGAGCGAACGGG